GUAAUAAUGUGCUUAUGUGGCUGGGCACAGUGCCUCAUGCCUGUAAUCUCAACACUUUGGGAGGAUCUCUUGAACCGAGGAGUUUGAGACCAGCCUGAGCAACAUAGUGAGACCACAUCUCUACUAAGAAAUCAAAAAAAUUAGCCGGGUGUGGUGGCAUGUGCCUGUAGUCCCAGCUGUUUGGGAGGCUGAGGCAGGAGGAUUGCUUGAGCUUGGGAGAUCAAGG
rnacentral:lncRNA from 1 species